rnacentral:rRNA from 1 species
GACGAACGCUGGCGGCGUGCUUAACACAUGCAAGUCGAACGGAAAGGCCCUGCUUUUGUGGGGUGCUCGAGUGGCGAACGGGUGAGUAACACGUGAGUAUCCUGCCCUUGACUUUGGGAUAACUUCAGGAAACUGGGGCUAAUACCGGAUAGGAGCUCCUGCUGCAUGGUGGGGGUUGGAAAGUUUCGGCGGUUGGGGAUGGACUCGCGGCUUAUCAGCUUGUUGGUGGGGUAGUGGCUUACCAAGGCUUUGACGGGUAGCCGGCCUGAGAGGGUGACCGGCCACAAUGGGACUGAGAUACGGCCCAGACUCCUACGGGAGGCAGCAGUGGGGAAUAUUGCACAAUGGGCGGAAGCCUGAUGCAGCAACGCCGCGUGCGGGAUGACGGCCUUCGGGUUGUAAACCGCUUUCGCCUGUGACGAAGCGUGAGUGACGGUAAUGGGUAAAGAAGCACCGGCUAACUACGUG